GGGGAAGCUUGCUUCCCGCUGACGAGCGGCGGACGGGUGAGUAAUGCUUAGGAAUCUGCCCAGUAGUGGGGGAUAGCCCGGGGAAACCCGGAUUAAUACCGCAUACGUCCUACGGGAGAAAGCAGGGGAUCUUCGGACCUUGCGCUAUUGGAUGAGCCUAAGUCGGAUUAGCUAGUUGGUGGGGUAAAGGCCUACCAAGGCGACGAUCCGUAGCUGGUCUGAGAGGAUGAUCAGCCACAUCGGGACUGAGACACGGCCCGAACUCCUACGGGAGGCAGCAGUGGGGAAUAUUGGACAAUGGGGGCAACCCUGAUCCAGCCAUGCCGCGUGUGUGAAGAAGGCUUUCGGGUUGUAAAGCACUUUCAGUAGGGAGGAAAACCUUAUGGUUAAUACCCAUGAGGCUUGACGUUACCUACAGAAGAAGCACCGGCUAACUCCGUGCCAGCAGCCGCGGUAAUACGGAGGGUGCGAAGCGUUAAUCGGAAUUACUGGGCGUAAAGCGCGCGUAGGUGGUUUGGUAAGCGAGAUGUGAAAGCCCCGGGCUUAACCUGGGAACGGCAUUUCGAACUGUCAGACUAGAGUGUGGUAGAGGGUAGUGGAA
rnacentral:rRNA from 2 species